GACAGAGGAUGCAAGCGUUAUCCGGAAUGAUUGGGCGUAAAGCGUCUGUAGGUGGCUUUUUAAGUCCGCCGUCAAAUCCCAGGGCUCAACCCUGGACAGGCGGUGGAAACUACCAAGCUGGAGUACGGUAGGGGCAGAGGGAAUUUCCGGUGGAGCGGUGAAAUGCGUAGAUAUUGGGAGGAACACCGGUGGCGAAGGCGGCCUGCUGGGCAGUGGCUGACGCUGAGGCGCGACAGCGUGGGGAGCAAACAGG
rnacentral:rRNA from 1 species